CUAAUAUUGGCGGUUUGCAAGAGGAUAGGCAUUUGAUGGCGGGAGGAGGAGAGCGAACCCAGCAUUCAUCCACUCAAUAAAGAGAUCGAAUCAACCUUGAAGUGAGGUGAGGAGAGAAAGCUGCAAAAACAACAUUUUGAUGCUUCCUG